rnacentral:rRNA from 1 species
CCCUUAGAUGUCCUGGGCCGCACGCGCGCUACACUGAGUGUCUGAGAUACGAGUCUGCCUGGUCCGGCAAGGUCUAGGUAAUCGCUAAAAGACACAUCAUGCUUGGGAUAGAUUAUUGCAAAUAUUAAUCUUGAACGAGGAAUUCCUAGUAAGCGCAAGUCAACAGCUUGCGUUGAUUACGUCCCUGCCCUUUGUACACACCGCCCGUCGCUACUACUGAUUGGAUGUUUAAGCGAGGUUCUCGAACUGCUAGCGACUUAGCUUCGGUGAGGUCGCAGUGUGGGAAGUGAGCCUAGCUUUGGUGUCUAGAGGAAGUAAAAGUCGUAACA